ACCCAGACAGUAUGGUGGAUAUUACCCUCGGCUUGUAACCGAGUGUGCUCGGGUUCGAAUCCCGAAUAAGGCA
rnacentral:tRNA from 1 species